GAUGAACGCUGGCGGCGUGCCUAAUACAUGCAAGUCGAGCGAACAGACGAGGAGCUUGCUCCUCUGACGUUAGCGGCGGACGGGUGAGUAACACGUGGAUAACCUACCUAUAAGACUGGGAUAACUUCGGGAAACCGGAGCUAAUACCGGAUAAUAUAUUGAACCGCAUGGUUCAAUAGUGAAAGACGGUUUUGCUGUCACUUAUAGAUGGAUCCGCGCCGCAUUAGCUAGUUGGUAAGGUAACGGCUUACCAAGGCGACGAUGCGUAGCCGACCUGAGAGGGUGAUCGGCCACACUGGAACUGGGACACGGUCCAGACUCCUACGGGAGGCAGCAGUAGGGAAUCUUCCGCAAUGGGCGAAAGCCUGACGGAACAACGCCGCGUGAGUGAUGAAGGUCUUCGGAUCGUAAAACUCUGUUAUUAGGGAAGAACAAAUGUGUAAGUAACUAUGCACGUCUUGACGGUACCUAAUCAGAAAGCCACGGCUAACUACGUG
rnacentral:rRNA from 1 species